rnacentral:rRNA from 1 species
UACAGAGGGUGCGAGCGUUAAUCGGAAUUACUGGGCGUAAAGCGCACGUAGGCGGCUUGGUAUGUCGGGUGUGAAAUCCCCGGGCUCAACCUGGGAACUGCAUCCGAAACUGCCUUGCUAGAGUAUGGGAGAGGGAAGCGGAAUUCCCGGUGUAGUGGUGAAAUGCGUAGAUAUCGGGAGGAACACCAGUGGCGAAGGCGGCUUCCUGGCCUGUUCUUGACGCUGAGGCGCGAAAGCUAGGGGAGCAAACGGG